rnacentral:rRNA from 1 species
CAAGUCGAACGCGAAAGUCCUUCGGGAUGAGUAAAGUGGCGCACGGGUGAGUAAUACAUGGGAACAUGCCCUUGAAUGGGGAAUAACGUUUGGAAACGAACGCUAAUACCGCAUAAUCUCGCGAGAGUAAAGGUGGCGCCGCAAGGGCUACCGUUCAAGGAUUGGCCCAUGUCCCAUUAGCUAGUUGGCGGGGUAAUGGCCCACCAAGGCAACGAUGGGUAUGUGGUCUGAGAGGAUGAUCACACACACUGGAACUGAGACACGGUCCAGACUCCUACGGGAGGCAGCAGUAGGGAAUAUUGCACAAUGGGGGAAACCCUGAUGCAGCAACGCCGCGUGAGUGAAGAAGGCCCUUGGGUUGUAAAGCUCUUUAGCGUGGGAAGAAGGUAGAUAUGGUGAAUAAUCAUGUUUGCUGACGGUACCACGAGAAUAAGCACCGGCUAAUUUCGUGCCAGCAGCCGCGGUAAUACGAAAGGUGCAAGCGUUACUCGGAAUCACUGGGCGUAAAGCGCACGUAGGCGGACUCGUAGGUCAAUUGUGAAAUACCUGGGCUCAACCCGGGAACUGCAGUUGAAACCGCUUGUCUUGAAUACCUGAGAGGGUGGGGGAAUACCUGGUGGAGAAGUGAAAUUCGUAGAGAUCAGGUGGAACACCGGAGGCGAAGGCGCCUGCCUGGCAGUGUAUUGACGCUGAGGUGCGAAAGUGCGGGGAGCAAACAGGAUUAGAUACCCUGGUAGUCCGCACCGUAAACGAUGGAUACUAGGCGUUCGGAGAGUUAACCCUCUGAGUGCCAAAGUUCACACAUUAAGUGUCCCGCCUGGGAAGUACGGUCGCAAGACUAAAACUCAAAGGAAUUGACGGGGGCCC